AUACGUAGGUGACAAGCGUUAUCCGGAUUUACUGGGCGUAAAGGGCGUGUAGGCGGUCUUGCAAGUCAGAAGUGAAAUUCCUGAGCUCAACUCGGGCGCUGCUUCUGAAACUGCAGGACUUGAGUGCUGGAGGGGAUAGCGGAAUUCCUAGUGGAGCGGUAAAAUGCGCAGAUAUUAGGAAGAACACCGGUGGCGAAGGCGGCUAGCUGGACAGUAACUGACGCUGAGGCGCGAAAGCGUGGGGAGCAAACAGGAUUAGAUCCCCUGGUAGUCCACGCCGUAAACGAUGAAUACUAGGUGUAGGGGGUAUCGACUCCCUCUGUGCCGCAGUUAACACAAUAAGUAUUCCGCCUGGGGAGUACGGCCGUAAGGUUGAAACUCAAAUGAAUUGACGGGG
rnacentral:rRNA from 1 species